UACAGAGGGGGCAAGCGUUAUUCGGAAUUAUUGGGCGUAAAGGGCGCGUAGGCGGCUUCGCAAGUGGAAGGUGAAAUCCCUCGGCUUAACCGAGGAACUGCCCUCCAAACUGCUUGGCUUGAGUCCGGGAGAGGUGAGUGGAAUUCCCAGUGUAGCGGUGAAAUGCGUAGAUAUUGGGAGGAACACCAGUGGCGAAGGCGGCUCUCUGGGACGGUACUGACGCUGAGACGCGAAAGCGCGGGGAGCGAACAGG
rnacentral:rRNA from 1 species